rnacentral:lncRNA from 1 species
UUUUUGUAUGAUUUUAACAUUGGUUAAAUCCGAUCCGAACCAAACCCGAAAAAAACCGAACCGAACUUGAUCCGAUAAUUAGUAAAAACUGAAUGGUACUUAUGAGCAUAACACCGAAAAUCCAAAAAUCUGAAUCAUCCGGACCGAAACCGAAUAGCCCACCAAGUUUUCUAUCUGAUGGAUAAAGAGAAAUAACUUGAAUUUAAUUAAAAAUUUAAUUAUCAAAUAAGGUUAAUGUCAAUACAUAAAAUAAUCCAAAACACAUAAAAUGUAGGAAUAAAAAGAGCAAGUUAACAAGAACAAAAAAGAUCUAUGUUAUCGUUAAUGUUUUAUCAAACCUAUGCAAAUAAAAAUAAAAAGUAUUAUCUCAUCAAAAAAAAUUCAUCUGAAAAAAAUAUAACCAAAAACUAAUAAAUAAUUAAAAAUUAAAAAAGCAGUUUGAAAAAAAAAUAGUAAACAAUACAUUAUUAGUUGGAAUAUAGAAUAUAAAUUAAGAAGAGUGAAAAUUUAGUCAAAAAUAAUAAUUUAAUAAAAAUAUAUAACUAAAAAUUAUGCCGAGAAAAAGAGUAAAUCACAGAUUUCGUUUUAGGAAAUAGUUAAAACAAAUAUUUUUCAAAAAAUAGUUUGGAAAAAAAAGAAACAAAAUAACAUUGCUUCAUUCAAAUAAUCACAACUAUCGUAUACUUUAGCACUUAAUCUCCUAAUAUCUUAAAUAACAAUGAUUUACAUUGCUCCUUUUAUACAACCGUAACUAUUUAUAUAGAAAGUUAAUUAACAAUAAAUUUGACAUUUAAUAUUCUAACAUCUUACAUAAACAUAUAUUUCACAUAAAUAACGAGUAACAAAGAAUGUAUAACCAAAUUUUUAACACAAAAAAUAUCAACACAACUAAAUUAACAAAUAUA